rnacentral:rRNA from 1 species
UACAGAGGGUGCAAGCGUUAAUCGGAAUUACUGGGCGUAAAGCGUGCGUAGACGGUUAUGUAAGUCGGGUGUGAAAGCCCCGGGCUCAACCUGGGAAUGCCAUUCGAGACUGCAUAGCUAGGGUGCGGAAGAGGGAAGCGGAAUUUCCGGUGUAGCGGUGAAAUGCGUAGAUAUCGGAAGGAACACCAGUGGCGAAAGCGGCUUCCUGGUCCAGCACCGACGUCAGGCACGAAAGCGUGGGGAGCAAACAGG